rnacentral:sRNA from 1 species
AAAAUAAAAAUCCAUAAAAAUGGAAAUGCACACUAUAAUAUAUGUGUUUAGAGAAUUGUUCAAGCGUUUUUAGCUGUGGUGUCUUUGCAUAUAUUUUUUUAUUUUGUUAACUUAGAAAAAAAUAUAAUUUAACAUCAUACUGUAUUGUUUGAUUUAUAUUAGGGGUUAAAAAGAUAAUAAGGCAUAGAAGUCGAGAUAUUGUAGAAUUUGGGAAGCGAAUUAAGGAAAUUAUUUCUCUCUUCUGCCGUUCAUAAACAUGGGAAGAUUGCGCCGGUGGGAAGACUGCGCAUUAAAUGCUCGUAAAAUCUCUGUGGAAAGAUUGCACUGGCGUUAUGGGGAAGCGAAAGAAUUUAGGAAAAGAAAAUGAUUACGGAGAUAUUUCUCGAUUUGUGGGAGGAGCUGUAUACAGAGUUCAUAUAUUUAUUAUCGCCGUAGAGGCGUUGCCCAAACAACAAAACAAACACACCAUAAAGGUUCUGAGACCAAGUUAAUGAGACGAAGAACAAAGUAGAGAUAGGAAGAAUCUGGAGAUCAUUAAAGAGCAUCAAUAAAUACGAGAAGGUAUAUAUAUAUAUAUAUA